AUUGAACGCUGGCGGCAUGCCUUACACAUGCAAGUCGAACGGUAACGGGCCUUCGGGUGCCGACGAGUGGCGCACGGGUGAGUAAUACAUCGGAACGUGCCCGAUCGUGGGGGAUAACGAGGCGAAAGCUUUGCUAAUACCGCAUACGAUCUACGGAUGAAAGCAGGGGACCGCAAGGCCUUGCGCGGACGGAGCGGCCGAUGGCAGAUUAGGUAGUUGGUGGGAUAAAAGCUUACCAAGCCGACGAUCUGUAGCUGGUCUGAGAGGAUGAUCAGCCACACUGGGACUGAGACACGGCCCAGACUCCUACGGGAGGCAGCAGUGGGGAAUUUUGGACAAUGGGCGGAAGCCUGAUCCAGCCAUGCCGCGUGCAGGAUGAAGGCCUUCGGGUUGUAAACUGCUUUUGUACGGAACGAAAAGCCUUCUUUUAAUACAGGAGGGUCAUGACGGUACCGUAAGAAUAAGCACCGGCUAACUACGUG
rnacentral:rRNA from 1 species